UACGUAGAGAGCAAGCGUUGUCCGGAAUCAUUGGGUGUAAAGGGUACGCAGGCGGCCCAUUAAGUCAGAUGUGAAAGCCCGGAGCUCAACUCCGGGAUUGCAUUUGAAACUGGUGGGCUAGAGUACAGGAGAGGAAAGUGGAAUUCCUAGUGUAGCGGUGAAAUGCGUAGAUAUUAGGAAAAACACCAGUGGCGAAGGCGGCUUUCUGGACUGUAACUGACGCUGAGGUACGAAAGCGUGGGGAGCGAACAGG
rnacentral:rRNA from 1 species